CAGUCGCCGCGGUAAUACGUAGGUGGCAGGCGUUGUCCGGAAUUAUUGGGCGUAAAGCGCGCGCAGGUGGUUUAAUAAGUCUGAUGUGAAAGCCCACGGCUCAACCGUGGAGGGUCAUUGGAAACUGUUAAACUUGAGUGCAGGAGAGAAAAGUGGAAUUCCUAGUGUAGCGGUGAAAUGCGUAGAGAUUAGGAGGAACACCAGUGGCGAAGGCGGCUUUUUGGCCUGUAACUGACACUGGGGCGCGAAAGCGUGGGGAGCAAACAGGAUUAGAUACCCGCGUAGUCCCUGUCUCUUAUAC
rnacentral:rRNA from 1 species